ACACCUGGAGUUCAUAUACACACACACACACACACUCAGACACACACACACACACACACACACACACACACUCACACACACUCACACAUACACACACACACACACACACACACACACACACACAGAAAAUGAGUUGAGCUGGAGAACACAGAAGAGGAGUUGAGCUGGAGAGGAACACAGAAGAGGAGUUGAGCUAAUUACAUGAUGUUCCUUAAAGGCACAGACCCCCGGGUAGCAGGUGCAUAGAGUGGCUGAUAUUUUACAUUCACAUUAACAAAAAAAGUAUUUUGACAGCUUUUCACAGUAAACUGCCAUGAUCUUUACUGUCAGGUGUUGUUGCCAGUAAGCUCUGAGUAGGGCGUACACCUGAUAUGAAUGUAGGUGAGGUGAUCCUGUAUGGCUACAUUCUUUACGUUCGACGUCAUUAAACUGUCUGAACUGCAUGUUGAUAAACCAGCUUCUCAUGACAGAGACUUUGCUCUUUGGGUCGAUCGGGUCUAAUUCACAGAAGGCAGAGAAAAAGCUAACUAAUGUCUCUGAGGAAAACAAAAUACAUGCGAAGCUGAACAAUGGAAACACCAGGAGACGCUCCAGAGGGACAGAGACACGUCCAUCAGGAGAGACCUCCAUCACCUGUGCCCACUUGUGUGUCCAUGAAGAGUGACCAGUCACAUGAACGCCGCAUCAACUUCCAGAAUGAAGAUGGUACAAAUGCAUCAAGACACGUCCGUCAGGAGAGACCUCCAUCACCUGUGCCCACUUGUGUGUCCAUGAAGAGUGACCAGUCACAUGAACGCCACAUCUUCCAGAAUGAAGAUGGUACAAAUGCAUCAAGGCAAGUCCAUGAUACAGACUCAUGUCAAGGGUAUGCUUAAAAAGGUAUACUGUGCAUGCACACAGUUUUA
rnacentral:lncRNA from 1 species